rnacentral:rRNA from 1 species
GACGAACGCUGGCGGCGUGCUUAACACAUGCAAGUCGAACGGAAAGGCCCCCACCUUGGUGGGGGUGCUCGAGUGGCGAACGGGUGAGUAACACGUGGGUGAUCUGCCCUGUACUUCGGGAUAAGCUUGGGAAACUGGGUCUAAUACCGGAUAGGACCAUGGUUUAGUGUCUCAUGGUGGAAAAAUUAUUGUUUUGGUGCAGGAUGAGCUCGCGGCCUAUCAGCUUGUUGGUGGGGUAGUGGCCUACCAAGGCGGUGACGGGUAGCCGGCCUGAGAGGGGGGACGGCCACAUUGGGACUGAGACACGGCCCAGACGACUACGGGAGGCAGCAGCGGGGGAUAGUGCACGAUGGGCACAAGCCUGAUGGAGCGGAGCCGCGUGGCGGAUGACGGGCUUCGGGGUGUAAGCUCCUUGCGUUGGGGACGGAGCCACACCUUUGUGGGGUGUGGUGACGGUACCUUUGUAAAGAAGCACCGGCUAACUACGUG